UUAUACUAUUUUUUUUUUCUUUUUUUUUUAGAGAAAGAUAGUGUACUAUUUAUUUUGUUUUUUUUUAAAAUAAAUUUAGUUAGAAAUAUAAACCAAUUAGAGUUCAAAUUUAAAAUUUCGGAUAUCAACCAUCAAGCUCUUUGCUAUUUUUACUAGAAACAGUCCGGUAUUUGAUCCUUAUUCUCGUGCUGUGUGGCUUCACCCACCAUAUGAUUAAUUGUGUGUUCUUAUUAAACAUAAAAAUUCUAAAUGUUA
rnacentral:lncRNA from 1 species